rnacentral:rRNA from 1 species
AACGUAGGAGGCGAGCGUUAUCCGGAAUUACUGGGCGUAAAGCGCGCGUAGGCGGUUAUCUAAGUGGUGCGUGAAAGCUCCCGGCUCAACUGGGAGAGGUCGUACCAAACUGGAUGACUUGAGACAGAUAGAGGUCAGUGGAAUUCCGGGUGGAGAGGUGAAAUGCGUAGAGAUCCGGAGGAACACCAGAGGCGAAGGCGACUGGCUGGGUCUGUUCUGACGCUGAGGCGCGAAAGCGUGGGGAGCGAACGGG